AUGAACGCUAGCGGCAGGCUUAACACAUGCAAGUCGAGGGGUAUUUAUCUUCGGAUAGAGAGACCGGCGCACGGGUGCGUAACGCGUAUGCAAUCUACCUUUUACAGAGGGAUAGCCCAGAGAAAUUUGGAUUAAUACCUCAUAGUAUGUGAGAAUGGCAUCAUUUUCACAUUAAAGUCACAACGGUAAAAGAUGAGCAUGCGUCCCAUUAGCUAGUUGGUAAGGUAACGGCUUACCAAGGCUACGAUGGGUAGGGGUCCUGAGAGGGAGAUCCCCCACACUGGUACUGAGACACGGACCAGACUCCUACGGGAGGCAGCAGUGAGGAAUAUUGGACAAUGGGCGCAAGCCUGAUCCAGCCAUGCCGCGUGCAGGAUGACGGUCCUAUGGAUUGUAAACUGCUUUUGCACAGGAAGAAACAACGCUACGUGUAGCGUCUUGACGGUACUGUGAGAAUAGGGAUCGGCUAACUCCGU
rnacentral:rRNA from 1 species